rnacentral:rRNA from 1 species
GCCCUUAGGUUUAAUUAAAGGUGCAACCUGCCCUAUGGUUUUUUCAUCUUUUUUAAUUAAAAGUAAAACUAAAACUAAAUGGCCGCGGUAACUCUGACCGUGAUAAUGUAGCGAAAUCAAUUGUCGUUUAAUUGACGACCAGUAUGAAUGGUUAAACGAAUUUUCCACUGUCUCCGCGAUGAGUUUAAUGAAUUUAAAAUAAUAGUGAAGAUGCUAUUUGAUGAUUGUAAGACGAGAAGACCCUAUAGAGCUUAACUAUAAUCUUUAACCACAUAACGAUAAAUUAUUUGUUUAAAUUAAAGAUUGGUAGUUUGGUUGGGGCGACCAUCUUCUAAAAGUAACGAAGAUAAGCAACGAUAUAUAAAAAUCUUUAUUUAACUGUAUAAUUAAUAGAUUUAACAGAUAUUAAAAUAGGUAAAUUGACCCGUUUAUUUUUUAAAAGAAAAAUAACGAUUAAUAAAUAAAAGCUACCUUAGGGAUAACAGCGUAAUCUUAUUUAAGAGUUCUUAUCGACAAUAAGGUUUGCGACCUCGAUGUUGAAUUGCGAUAACCUGAGGGUGCAGCAGCUCUCAAAGGUUGGUCUGUUCGACCAUUAAAAUCGU